rnacentral:lncRNA from 14 species
CACACCGGGCCCUCUGCGGGCCGGCUCCGCUCUGCCGCAGAUUUGAAUAUCCUCUGCAGGCAACUCCAAGAAAGAGGCGUUCCCGGUCUCCAAAAGAUGAAACACUGCAGGUUCUUCAUGUUCAGCAGGUGGCAGAAGUGGAAUUACAAACUUUGGGAUCUAAAAGUCCUCAUGCUUCAGAUAAUGCUGAGUGCAAAGGAAAAGAUGCCAAUGAAAAUAAGCAAAGUACAGAGGAAAAUAUUUCCAAGGCUUUACCCGUCAAAGUACAAACACCCAAAUCUUCACACAGAAUAGAUGAGUCUGCUAAAAAGAAGAAUUCACUGUCUCCCUUUAGUAAACUCUAUGAAAAGAUGAAAAAUGAGAUAAAAGUGAAAAAACCUCUUCCUGGGGGAAAUGCAACUCAAGAAGGUGCAAAAGGAGAUGGGAAGAAUGUUCCUC